GACGAACGCUGGCGGCGUGCUUAACACAUGCAAGUCGAGCGGUAAGGCCCUUUCGGGGGUACACGAGCGGCGAACGGGUGAGUAACACGUGGGUGACCUGCCCUCAGCUCUGGGAUAAGCCUGGGAAACCGGGUCUAAUACUGGAUAUGACUCCAUGACGCAUGUUGUGGGGUGGAAAGCCUUGUGCGGCUGAGGAUGGGCCCGCGGCCUAUCAGCUUGUUGGUGGGGUGAUGGCCUACCAAGGCGACGACGGGUAGCCGGCCUGAGAGGGCGACCGGCCACACUGGGACUGAGACACGGCCCAGACUCCUACGGGAGGCAGCGGUGGGGAAUUUUGGACAAUGGGCGCAAGCCUGAUCCAGCCAUGCCGCGUGCGGGAA
rnacentral:rRNA from 1 species